rnacentral:misc_RNA from 1 species
CACAACGGUCUUCGCCAUGUCGGGCGAUGCCGCCUUGUCGACAUAGACGUGAUUGACGCCUUCGAGAUGGGCGAAUACGGGCACGCGUGCUUCGUCCUGCACGCGUGCGACGAGAUUCUUGCCGCNNNNNNNNNNAUCACAUCAAUCGCGCCAUUGAGGCCGCCGAGCAUCAGGCCGACUGCCGCACGGUCGCGGGUCGGCACCAGCGAAAUUGAUUGUUCGGGAAGUUCGGCCUUG